rnacentral:rRNA from 1 species
CGCGGCCUAUCAGCUUGUUGGUGAGGUAACGGCUCACCAAGGCAUCGACGGGUAGCUGGUCUGAGAGGACGAUCAGCCACACUGGGACUGAGACACGGCCCAGACUCCUACGGGAGGCAGCAGUAGGGAAUCUUGCGCAAUGGGCGAAAGCCUGACGCAGCAACGCCGCGUGGGGGAUGAAUGCCUUCGGGUUGUAAACCCCUUUCAGCAGGGACGAAAAUGACGGUACCUGCAGAAGAAGGUCCGGCCAACUACGUGCCAGCAGCCGCGGUAACACGUAGGGACCGAGCGUUGUCCGGAUUUAUUGGGCGUAAAGAGCUCGUAGGCGGUUCUGUAAGUCGGAUGUGAAAACUCAGGGCUCAACCCUGAGACGCCAUCUGAUACUGCAGUGACUAGAGUCCGGUAGAGGAAGAUGGAAUUCCUGGUGUAGCGGUGGAAUGCGCAGAUAUCAGGAGGAACACCAAUGGCGAAGGCAGUCUUCUGGGCCGGUACUGACGCUGAGGAGCGAAAGCAUGGGGAGCAAACAGGAUUAGAUACCCUGGUAGUCCAUGCCGUAAACGUUGGGCACUAGGUGUGGGGUCUUCUAACGGAUUCCGUGCCGUAGCUAACGCAUUAAGUGCCCCGCCUGGGGAGUACGG